UUAAAAAAACUUACUUUAGUG
rnacentral:piRNA from 1 species